rnacentral:rRNA from 1 species
AACGAACGCUGGCGGCAUGCCCAACACAUGCAAGUCGAACGAGACCUUCGGGUCUAGUGGCGCACGGGUGCGUAACGCGUGGGAACCUGCCCUUAGGUUCGGAAUAACUCCCUGAAAGGGGUGCUAAUACCGGAUAAUGUCUUCGGACCAAAGAUUUAUCGCCUUUGGAUGGGCCCGCGUUGGAUUAGCUAGUUGGUAGGGUAAAAGCCUACCAAGGCGACGAUCCAUAGCUGGUCUGAGAGGAUGAUCAGCCACACUGGGACUGAGACACGGCCCAGACUCCUACGGGAGGCAGCAGUGGGGAAUAUUGGACAAUGGGCGAAAGCCUGAUCCAGCAAUGCCGCGUGAGUGAUGAAGGCCUUAGGGUUGUAAAGCUCUUUUACCCGGGAUGAUAAUGACAGUACCGGGAGAAUAAGCUCCGGCUAACUCCGUG